AUUUUCUUCUGAUGUGAUUUCACCAUCGAAGAAAUGCAUCAUCGGCCGUUUGCGGCUCCUCACAAACCCUAGAUCUGACUCACCACCAUCGAAGCACUUCAGAUCGGUGUUCCUGUUGCAAGUCCAGGAACCCUGGAAUCUGUUGCUUGGUGAAUAUGGGAGGAUGUUCAGAAGAGGACACCAUUGGUUUUUGGUUCCUAUUUGAGAUUCAUAACCAUUGGUUAUAAUGAUGCUUCUCAUGAUAAGUAAAUGACCUUUUUAGUUGGUUUAGUGACAGUUGUAACGAUAAGAUCAUUGUUUUUGAGCAUGUAUAUGACAAAAACUAUUUGAGACACGCCCAAAGUUAGAAAUCUUAGUUUCUUAAUUCUCAUCCAACAAGAUGUUGGAGCUCUUUAUGUCACGAUGUAUGACUCUUUGUUACUGGUUCCAAAGGAUUAUGAAGGUAGUCUAGCCCACAGACAACAUAAAUGCAUAUCUUGAGACAUCAGUUCACAUGAGACUCGUGCCUCCAACAAUGGAUUGUUCGAGUCUCACGUGAGAACCCGAUGUCUCAAGAUAGGUGUUGGUGUUGUGCGUGGGUUAGCUUAUCAUCAUAAUCCUUUGUCAUCGCAACAAGGAGUCAUGCAUGGUGAUAUAAAUAGCCCUAACAUUAUGUUGGAUGAGAAAUGUGAAUCUGUGAUUUCCUAUUUUGGCUUGUUUGAAAUGGAUUUUGCUGGAAACAUGCUCAUAAACAAGGAUCGUCUCGUUUUUAUUGUUGUGGAAACCUACUUGCUAUAAAGAAGCAUUUGUAAGGGUUAUAUUUAUAAUUAGACCAUAGCGUUCGUUCUUUAUUAUUGUAACAGACUGCUUCAAAACAAUAUGAUACUUGAUUGAACAUUUUGGCUGUUAAAUUGACCGAGUAUGGUAUGCGGUUUUACGCUA